rnacentral:rRNA from 1 species
UACAGAGGUCUCAAGCGUUGUUCGGAUUCAUUGGGCGUAAAGGGUGCGUAGGCGGCCAGGCAAGUCAGGUGUGAAAUCCCGGAGCUCAACUCCGGAACUGCACUUGAUACUGCGCUGCUAGAGUACUGGAGAGGAGACUGGAAUUUACGGUGUAGCAGUGAAAUGCGUAGAUAUCGUAAGGAAGACCAGUGGCGAAGGCGAGUCUCUGCACAGUUACUGACGCUGAGGCACGAAGGCCAGGGGAGCAAACGGG